rnacentral:misc_RNA from 1 species
CGCACAUUGCGCCCGCCAGUAUUCUGGCGGGCAUGCCUGUUCGAGCGUCAUUUCAACCCUCAAGCCCAGCGCUUGGUGUUGGGGAUCGGCGGGUCUCACGACCAGCCGGCCCCUAAAUCUAGUGGCGGUCUCGCUGCAGCUUCCCUUGCGUAGUAGAAACACCUCGCAAAAGGAACGCGGCGCGGCCAUGCCGUUAAACACCCAACUUCUGAAUGUUGACCUCGGAUCAGGUAGGAAUACCCGCUGAACUUAA